UUUAAUCUCAGAUGUUGUUUCCAUUCACAGAUGUGUUAGCUUAACUAAGUGGUGACUGAUAUGGAUAGGUUUGACUUCUUUAUAGCAAUCAUUAUAUAUAUAAAUUUGAUUCUCUUGAACAUUUUAUGUAGAAAAUGUCCUGAUGACAUUAAAUUUUUCACUCCUUUCAUUAAGCGUUGUAUGAGGAUAAAGCAUUGCAUAUAGCAGUAAGAUAUUUACAUGCAACUUUUCUGAAGUUGACGUCAUACUAGUCUACAAAAAUUUUAC